UACGUAGGGGGCAAGCGUUGUCCGGAAUUAUUGGGCGUAAAGAGCGUGUAGGCGGUCCGGUAAGUCAGCUGUGAAAGUCAAGGGCUCAACCCUUGAAUGCCGGUUGAUACUGUCGGGCUAGAGUGCGGAAGAGGCGAGUGGAAUUCCUGGUGUAGCGGUGAAAUGCGCAGAUAUCAGGAGGAACACCGAUUGCGAAGGCAGCUCGCUGGGACGUCACUGACGCUGAGACGCGAAAGCGUGGGGAGCAAACAGG
rnacentral:rRNA from 1 species